GACAGAGGGUGCAAACGUUGUUCGGAAUUACUGGGCGUAAAGCGCGCGCAGGCGGCUAUCCAAGUCAGUGGUGAAAGCCCGGAGCUCAACUCCGGAACUGCCAUUGAAACUGUUUAGCUUGAGGACGAGAGAGGUGAGUGGAAUUCCCAGUGUAGAGGUGAAAUUCGUAGAUAUUGGGAAGAACACCGGUGGCGAAGGCGGCUACACUGGCUCGUAUCUGACGCUCAGGCGCGACAGCGUGGGGAUCAAACAGG
rnacentral:rRNA from 1 species